rnacentral:rRNA from 2 species
GACGAACCGUGCGAACGUUGUUCGGAUUCACUGGGCUUAAAGGGCGCGUAGGCGGGUUACCAAGUCAGGGGUGAAAUCUUUCGGCUCAACCGGAAAACGGCCCCUGAUACUGGUAGUCUUGAGGGAGGUAGGGGCAGGUGGAACUUCCGGUGGAGCGGUGAAAUGUGUUGAUAUCGGAAGGAACGCCGGUGGCGAAAGCGACCUGCUGGAUCUCUUCUGACGCUGAGGCGCGAAAGCUAGGGGAGCGAACGGG